rnacentral:rRNA from 1 species
CUUGGUGGCUAUACCGCGGAGGGUACACCUCUUCCCAUUCCGAACAGAGUAGUUAAGCUCCGCAAGGCCGAUGGUACUGCUAGGGCAGCCUUGUGGGAGAGUAGGUCGUCGCCAAGC